ACGUGGAGCUGGCUGGCGGU
rnacentral:miRNA from 1 species